GACGUAGGGUCCAAGCGUUGUCCGGAUUUACUGGGCGUAAAGAGCGCGUAGGCGGCUCGAUAAGUGUGAAGUGAAAUCUCUAGGGCUCAACCCAGAAACCGCUUUACAUACUGCCGAGCUGGAGUGAUGCAGAGGUUUGUGGAAUUCCUGGUGUAACGGUGAAAUGUGUUGAUAUCAGGAGGAACACCCAUGGCGAAGGCGGCCCCCUGGACCGGUACUGACGCUGAGGC
rnacentral:rRNA from 1 species